AUUGAACGCUGGCGGCAUGCCUUACACAUGCAAGUCGAACGGUAACGGGCCUUCGGGUGCCGACGAGUGGCGAACGGGGGAGUAAUACAUCGGAACGUGCCCGAUCGUGGGGGAUAACGAGGCGAAAGCUUUGCUAAUACCGCAUACGAUCUACGGAUGAAAGCAGGGGACCGCAAGGCCUUGCGCGGACGGAGCGGCCGAUGGCAGAUUAGGUAGUUGGUGGGAUAAAAGCUUACCAAGCCGACGAUCUGUAACUGGUCUGAGAGGAUGAUCAGCCACACUGGGACUGAGACACGGCCCAGACUCCUACGGGAGGCAGCAGUGGGGAAUUUUGGACAAUGGGCGCAAGCCUGAUCCAGCCAUGCCGCGUGCAGGAUGAAGGCCUUCGGGUUGUAAACUGCUUUUGUACGGAACGAAAAGCCUUCUUUUAAUACAGGAGGGUCAUGACGGUACCGUAAGAAUAAGCACCGGCUAACUUCGUG
rnacentral:rRNA from 1 species